rnacentral:tRNA from 1 species
CAUUGAGAAGCUAUGAACCAGCACUAGCCUUUUAAGCUAGAGAAAGAGGGUGUCCCCUCCUUAAUGA